AAGGGUGAUAAAUGCUAGAAAACACCCGCGAAAUGGCGGGCAUCCAGAGCGUGGUUGAAAGUAUGUAAUGUGUUGUAGGAUGAUUUUUUUGUAAAAGAAUUAAUGACUGGAGAAUUUCAGGAAAGGUAAUAAAAGUUAUAGGCACUUGGGGACAGGACAAUUGUUUUUUAACCCCUUCUCCUUUUUUCGGGCCAAAAUUUCCAAUUUUUGUUUUCUAUUUAUUUCAAAAUGAACAUACGUUUAGUAUGUGAUGAACAAACAUUACUAUAAAUAAAG
rnacentral:lncRNA from 1 species